rnacentral:rRNA from 1 species
AGCGAACGCUGGCGGCAGGCUUAACACAUGCAAGUCGAGCGGGCCCUUCGGGGUCAGCGGCGGACGGGUGCGUAACGCGUGGGAACGUGCCUUCUGGUCUGGAAUAACCCUGGGAAACUAGGGCUAAUACCGGAUACGCCCUUUUGGGGAAAGGUUUACUGCCGGAAGAUCGGCCCGCGUCUGAUUAGCUAGUUGGUGGGGUAACGGCCUACCAAGGCGACGAUCAGUAGCUGGUCUGAGAGGAUGAUCAGCCACACUGGGACUGAGACACGGCCCAGACUCCUACGGGAGGCAGCAGUGGGGAAUAUUGGACAAUGGGCGCAAGCCUGAUCCAGCCAUGCCGCGUGAGUGAUGAAGGCCUUAGGGUUGUAAAGCUCUUUUAUCCGGGACGAUAAUGACGGUACCGGAGGAAUAAGCCCCGGCUAACUUCGUG